GACGAACGCUGGCGGCGUGCCUAAUACAUGCCAGUUGAGCGAUGAAGAUUGGUGCUUGCACCAAUUUGAAGAGCAGCGAACGGGUGAGUAACGCGUGGGGAAUCUGCCUUUGAGCGGGGGACAACAUUUGGAAAUGAAUGCUAAUACCGCAUAACAACUUUAAACAUAAGUUUUAAGCUUGAAAGAUGCAAUUGCAUCACUCAAAGAUGAUCCCGCGUUGUAUUAGCUAGUUGGUGAGGUAAAGGCUCACCAAGGCGAUGAUACAUAGCCGACCUGAGAGGGUGAUCGGCCACAUUGGGACUGAGACACGGCCCAAACUCCUACGGGAGGCAGCAGUAGGGAAUCUUCGGCAAUGGACGAAAGUCUGACCGAGCAACGCCGCGUGAGUGAAGAAGGUUUUCGGAUCGUAAAACUCUGUUGGUAGAGAAGAACGUUGGUGAGAGUGGAAAGCUCAUCAAGUGACGGUAACUACCCAGAAAGGGACGGCUAACUACGUG
rnacentral:rRNA from 1 species